UCUGUUCAUUUCCCAACCGAAAUAAUCUCUUUGCCUCUCAGGAAGGCAUAUUCCCCGUUCCACAUUGCCUGGAGUCAACUGGAGAGAAUGUACGCUAUCAUUUCAGCCCAACCUAGGUGUGGUGUCAUCUACAGGAGCACACAGAAGUUUUAAUCAGGCCAUCUGGAACUUUCCCAGAGAAGAGAUGGAGAGCUUCCAAGGAACUGAUCUGUAAAAGAUAAGUCUUUACUGAUCACAUGCAAACUGAAAUUUUCCAGGUUUCCUAAAUUAGAGUAGAUUUGUACAAAAAUAGCAGCUGGCACUUGUAUGACAAAAUAGUUAAUAUCGCUACCUAAAGCCUGGACUCAGUGGAAAGUGUUGAAGAAAAGGUUUAAAGCGGAGGGCAUACAAAAUCAUAAACACUGAAUUUCUCAUCAGUUGUCUCAUUCACAGAACAAUCUUAAUUAUUUUGGCAGAAGUAAGGUCCAAGUUGGAGCAUGGAGGCUUUCAUCCCAUGCAUUUUUCCAAACACAUAAAUAUGAAGAGUCGUUUAAAAAAUUAGGUCACCUUAGUAGAUGGCAGCAAUUCUAACAUUUUUAGAAUUAUUAAACGCGUACAUUAAUAUGUUACAAAAGCAGAUAUAAGGCUCUGUAGGGAUGUUUUUAAUGAGAAAAUGCUAUUGCCAAGGUAACUCAGUGCUAUCAGUUUUCUUCCACCCCUUCCUACAUAAAUGUAGAUAGAAUUUUUGCAGAUUAUUAAUUGAUUAGAACGAUACAAGAUACUGAAGGGUAUUAAAAUUUUACACUGAUAUUCAGGAGCUGCAUUGUAGAGGUUCAUUACUUUAGUAUUAAUAUUUUGAACCAAGCAUUCAUUUUUAUAUUUGGGAAUUCAGGUAAUGCUGCAGAAGAAUUAAAAUCUUAAGAACUGCCAGUUGGACAGGAGUAUAAAGAACUUACCAAUGACACAUUAUUCAUACCAGUAAAUUCUUAUUGUUAUUUCCUUGCCAAUCCACUGAAUGGAAAAAUAGCACAAAGGAAAAUGAUUUUAAAUCUUUUUCCAGUAAUUCUUCAAAGCUAUCCCGCUAUUAAUCAUUGGAGUUCACGUCAUCUAGCUAAGAAUGCACAAUAUUCCAAAGUAUUGCCAACAUUUUUCUUUAUUGAUCACACACUGGCACCAAAUCACAGUAUCUUAUUCCCACAGCGCCACAAAAACAGAAAAACUUCAGCUUCACUACCAUCUGGAUCACAGAUCAUCCCAUAAAAUGUGUUCAGGUUGACAUGUAAACGGCAAACCCAAACUACCCAAGCCUGUGUGCUUUCCAUCUGUCUUUGAACUCUGCUAAUGAGCCUCAGAAGCACAAAGAGAAAAACUUUGCAAGGUGGAGGACUGAUUUGGAGAGACUGUCUGCUGCUUACUGAAAAGCCAUUCCUGAAAAUUCGCUGUGGUUGUACAUGGCUGAGGAAAACUUCACAUGACUGAGCAUUUACUUAAAAGUAUCUUAGUCUUUUCUGGACGUGAUAAAAAAGAACUGAAGACCAUUUCCACAUAUGUGGGAUGUAAUUUAGUUGUAUUAGCCGUAGGAAUAAGGAUUCAUACAGCUGGUAGUAAAAGCAAACAGGUCCUUGAUGUUGCUGGGUGGACACAAAGGAAACAGCUGGAUGCUCUACAAUGCUGCCUGACCCACCUGUCUCUUCUCCUCUGGUCCAUAAUGCUGCUUGAAGCAAAGAGUGUAUUUAGUGCUGUUACCAUGUGCUACUUCAGCCUGGGAGAGCUGAACUUGGACACUCUUAUCUCUAUUUAUAGUGCUUUUUUUUCCUUUCAUAUUGACAUUUUUCCCUAUUGUGCACAUCUCCAGAUCAUUUGGUUUCCUUCUAUUUGUAAGAAUUGCAUGGCAUCCCACGAAACAGUCUGUUGGCUGCUCAGUUUCCCACAUGGUCUUCUAUGCAUACAUCUGCACAGUGUUUAGAGGAGGAGCACACUUUCAAAGCAAGAAUUAAUGUAAAUACCUAAAUGUACAAAUUGUGCACAGCAGAUCACACUAUUUAUACCAUGCUGCACUUGGGAGCCUUCAUGAAUGCAGUCAUUAAAGCUGGACAACAACCAGCAUGAUUAUUAUGACAGCCUUUGCUCACUAAACUGAAAAAAGGAAAAACUGUGCAAAUUAACACUGAUCUUUGCUUAAUGUACUGUGCUAUGUUAGAUUAUUAUGCAUUGCCAGUACACUGCUGAUUUUAAAAUUAACUUAGCUGAUGGAUGCAUAUUCUAUACUAAAAUAUCUGGAUAUUUUGCAGUUUCAUGAUAUUCCAGAAACACCUUUAGUUGAACUGACAGAUGAGUAAAUUAUGUAGUGAUGAAUUUCCCUUUCAGUUGCAUGGGAGAUCUGCUUCUCCUUUUCUCAGACCAAAAAUCUGAGAAUGUCAUGAUUCCAUGUGCUACAUGAAAACAGGUGAAUUGUGACUGAUAUUCUGAGCUGCCAAUUCUGUUCUAUAUACAGGAAAGACUGUGCAGCCAGGUUUAACAUGCUAAGAUGAUGCUCCUUAUCCCCUUCAUGUUGAAAUUAGACUAAAAAACAGCCUUUCCAGGUGCUGCUGCUGCUGCAGGCUGAUGGAAUGUUGAGCAAUUAAUUCUCUCUUACUUAAUUUAUUCUGUUAGAUGGAGGUGAUGGUACCUUCUUUUUACAGGUGCUUUGUAUUCUGAGCAUGGAACACAAAAUGCAGUUUCUAAUGUAACUCUAUUUGUUUGAAGGCAAUUUUGAACAAUACAAUGUAAAUGAACUCAGGGGCAUAAAGACUGAGAAAGAAAUGGAAUUGUGGAAGUUUUUGGCAUGUAAUUGCAUUGCCAAACAAGGAGUUCUGUGGUUCACCCAGGUAAUUAUUCCACAAAAUGCUGGGGUGGUGCUUUGCAGCUUUCAUAGCGAUGAAACUUCUGUUUCCUCCCAGUAAUCCAAGCAUUAAAACAUAAUAUUUUUUUGGAAUUGAAAUGAUUUGUUCUCACCUGGUCAUCAUUUAUUACCCUGAAGGAUAUCUUUCUUCCAUUUUACCUCCAUUUCAUCUUUUUUCUAUAUUAGAAAUGCAUGCUCAGUAUUUCACCAGAAGCCAUAUUAAUUUUUGACUGAAUUUGAAUGUACUUUAUUGCUGUUUUUAAGGUCUGUUUCUGUAGUAACAAGGAGAAUUUCGUUCUUUUCCCCCCUGUAGACGUGUCAAGCGCUUCUGCCUAACCCAAAACAGCUUGCAGUAUCCAAAUGUUUUUCUGAAUGUCUUUAUUCCUCCUGUCUCAUACACCUCACUGUAAGCAAUCACAAUUUAUACUCCUUUUUGUAGCUACAAACAUAAAAACUUAUGAGCAGGAGCUAAACUUUGAGGCUGGUGUAAUUCAAAAAGGGCCCCCAAAGUUUAAAUAUAAAAUGAAAUUUUACUGGAAGAUAUCUCUGGUUUGUCUGUGUUACCUUUGGUAAGAAAGUAGCUUAGUCUUCCUACCAUGCAUUUUUAUCUGUAAUAUAUAUUGUGAAUUCAAUAAUGUCAAUAAUUUGCUGUCCUCUUGUGUUGGUAGUUUCAAGAAAACAAAUAGCACAUAAAUAUUAACAAAAGAAUGAGUAGUGAAGAAUCCAAAUUACAUGGAAAGUAAUCUUUCAGACAAAGAAGCCUUCUGAGCUGUAUAUUUUAUACUCACAGUCAGCAACAACAGGAAAGCUGCUCCCUACCCCCAGCCUAAUUACCAUGGGCUUUACAGCUCUUACAACACCUGGUUUCUUCUCUCCUUUCAAAGUUGAGGUUUCUUGGACGUAAAUCCAUCAAUCCAUCAAGCAUUAACUCAAAAUCUUUGAACAUUUCUUUGUUCCUGUGCAACAUCAGAUUUACUGUUGUCACAGUGAAUAGAAAUCACAGAAGGUAGAACAGAGAAAAGAUGGCACGUACACCCUCACAACAGUUAUACCAUUUAAUCUGCUUCUGCAGAUGUACAGGACUUCAUCCCCCACACUAAUUGGAAAGUCCCAAUUUGAGAAUUAGACUGAAACAUAAUUUUGUAACAGACAUUAUUUGGGAAAAAAGAAACAAAACCAGACCCCAAAGCUAAUCUUCCACAGAAAGAAUCAGAGCAGUGGCGUGUUAGUUUUUAAAAGGAAACAAAACCAGCAUUAUGUUGGUUAUGUACCAGUAGUAUUUUAAAAUUGAAAUACAUUUCUGUAAAA